CUGGCUGGUGCUCUCAGGCUCUGUCUGUGCCCUGCCCUGUGGGAGCGCGGAGGAAGAGCCUUGACGGCAUUGAUGAGGCAGCUCAUUCUGGACACCAUUUCCAAGAAUAUGAAAGUGACAGCAAAAGAAGGCCAAUACACAGAGACGGGAGUUUCUGGAGAACAGGAGAUGGACGGGGCCAUGGGAGACAGGAAGAGAUGUGAGAAAUAAAAAAAUGGGUUUGUUUUAUGCAAACAACAAGCUAUAUUUCCCAUCUGGAAGCGUUUCUUCUGUUGACUGAGACACAAAGAUUGACUCUGAGACUAUGGGCUUCAUUCCCUUUCCUCUAGAAUUAUUUUUCUCUGCAGGAAAAAUCCUAUAGGAAAGGUGAAAAUAGACUUCAAUGAAAAGCCAAUAAAAUCAUCCAAAAACACCUUUAGAAUUGAGGU
ensembl:lncRNA